UGGCUCGGUUUUCCGAAUGUCGGUUCUUCCCGUGUUGCACCAUUUUUAAAUGGCCGGGCGCCCGCGGAAGUUUAAUUAUCUUGUGGUUUUUCUCGUUCAUUUUCUUCAUAAUGGUGCGCUACUUGUAACUAGAGGAAUGGUUACAAGUAUAACAUUUCACAGGCUCGCCGAAGGACGGGAAGAGUAGGAAAGAACGGUGGAAAAAACGAAGGUUAUUUCCCGCAUCCUGACUUUUCAACAAGCAUUCCAGGAAGCAGAGAAGCAGAUCUCGACAGUGAACAACUGGAGCUGCCAACUACUGCUGAAGAAUGGGAACAGAUUGCAUCUGCAUUUGAAUCAAAAUAGAAUUAUGGAAACUGCAUCGGUGCUUUAGAUGGUAAACACAUCGCCAUAAUGAAGCCUGCCCAUUCAGGAUCAAUGUUUUAUAACUACAAAGGUUUUUUCAGCAUCGUAUUAAUGGGUCCUAUUAACGCAAAUUAUGAGUUUAUUAUGAUCGACGUAGGAGCCAAUGGAAGAGUAUCGGAUGGUGGAGUUCUGUAUUAUACAAAGUUUGGGCAAAAGCUAAGGCAUUCUGAACUGAAUAUUCGACCUCCAUCAGCAAUGGCAAAUACCAGUAAUAAAUUUCCCUGUGUUCGUAGCCGAUAGUGCAUUUGCAUUAGACAGCCAUUUAAUGAAACCCUAUGGUCACUGUCAUUUACCCUGGAUAGGUUUCGCUAUA